ACAUGUAAUAUGUAGUAAUACUGUGCACUUGAUGAAAUACAUUGUAGCUGCAAGCAGCGAUUAUGGGGCCGAACACACCAUCGGCACACCAACUGUAUGUUGAGAAGAUUUAUUUGGUAAUAACACUCUCAUGGGUGAUUUCAGGAAUAGAAUUUAAAUGGCUAUGAAUAGAUUAAAAAUUCUUAACAGAUUUACAACUUUUAACUUUUAACCAAUAGGUGGCACUGCAUCCAAAUUUACAUCAUAUCAGGCAAUGUGGCAAUAGCUAUAUUUCCAUCCAAAUUGUGAAUUUAUUAAUGUAUGCAAAAGAUCGGACUCUCUCAAAAACAAUUUGCGAAUAAAACAGUUUAAAGAGGACAAACUCGUCACUCACACAAUGGCGUGAAAUGAAGAUGGAAGGUGAAGCCACUGUGCCACUUUAAUUGAAGUUUUUUUUUUGAAGGUUCUCUGAUUGGUGGAUCUUUCACUGCUGUACCACGAGUACUAGCCCAGAUAGCAAAAAAAUAUCCGCACGGCUUCUUUUUGCCGCCGUCCCUAAGCUGUCGGCUAUAGGUGCGUCCCACUGGCGGGGAUGAAACGUUUGCCGCCGAAUUCGUCACUCUCAUUUCUUGCGAUAUGCUGCCCGCGAAAAGCUGGCGGGCCGCUCGCUUCAUUUUCUCUGGCGGUUGCCUCGGGCUGAUCGACCGCGGGCGGCUGGCGGCAAGCCGCUUUGAAAUACAAGGAUUUCUACUCUCAAAAUCGACCAGCCAUGUUGGCUAUUUUUUGCUCCAAAGCCAUUAGGGUUUAUAACAGAGUCUUGACUCUUGAUUCCAUGAUAAGGUAAGGUUUAGGAAAUGACAUUUAAAUUACUUUGAAACUCUGAAGCGAUUAUACAGUAAUAUAUGUAAAAUAUAUUGAAUUAUUUUAUGCACUUGAAAAUUGUUUACAUUUCUUUGAUUGAUGCACAUUUGACAUGCACCAAUAAACCAAAAAGAAUUCCUUUUGUAAAACUGACUUGGCAAUAAAUAUCUUUAUGAUUCUGAUUCGGUUUUAAAAUAGAUAUUUAAUUCAUGGUAUGAACAAUUUAGCAGAAUAAAUUGAUGAAGUUAGACUUUUCACGAAUGCCUGACUAUCAGUGAACAGUGAAAGACAUCUGCAACAUGGCCAAAAUCUCAGGUAUACUUUAAUUUUUUUUAUUAAUUUGCAACCAUGGUGAUAUCUGUCAUAAACAUGAAAAUCCCUGUUUUGACGUGAAGGAUAAACUCAAUGAAAUAGCGAAAUUAUCCUCUGGUUUCACAGUUGCGCAGAAAUUUCGUUUAUGUCUACAUUUUUUCCAACCUCGAUUUUUUUUUUUUUUUUUGUUAUUUUACCUUUUACAGGUUUAGCAAUUAUGACCUAUACAAAUGUUUAAGAAAGUGUUAAAGUCCCUGUAAAGGCAAUACAAAAAAAUCUAAACGCAUUAUAAAUGUUAAAAACGUAUUGCUAAAACACAUUACAAAGACUGAACUGUGAAGUUCCGCUGUCGCCAUAUUUGUUUCCGGUUUACUUGCGCGUCGCCCAAAAUGUCUGUUUUUACUCGAUGUCUCCAGAAUCUUCCGAAAAUACGCGUCAGCGAUGUUCAUCGCAUUGUUGAUGCCUGGUCCCCUGCUCCGACAAGCAAGAGGGACAAGGGCUUUAAACUCUACAUAUCGAGUUAUCUGCACAACUACAAGGGUAAGUAUUUUAAUCUAAUGUGGUGUGCCGGCAGAUAGCGGCUAAGCUAGUUUGCCACGUGUUCAUUUUUUAUGUAAGGUUAGUAUAGAAGCUUGUUUUUUCUUAGUUUUAAAGCAGACUGUUUGUUAAUUUUUGUGAUAAUUGUAAUAUAAAUUAUAUUAACUUGCUCUCCUCUCAGUUUCUAAUAAAGAUCAGGGCACAGGUGAAGUUACUGUCAGGGCAUUGUGCUACAGUUCCACGAGGAAAACAGAUAAACCUCACAGUUUGAGUGUAUGGUGAAGCUAGAAUUGAUAAGACCGCAGUUACAGGCUUGUUACUUUAAUAGCCCGAUGUUCCUGGGGACUCGACUAAGGUUAUUCAUGUUUAAUGUAACUCAAAUCAAAUGAAAACAGUUAUUGUAGGCAGGUAAGUUUCCCUAACUGGUCCCCUCUGUGUAAAAUGCGUAUACCAAUAUUUCAUUAUUUUCUUUUUCCUCCCCUUUUACAAACAAAUAUUCUGCUUCAAAGAAAAAAAAUGAAAUUGAUGUUAUCAUAAGGGUUCUUCAUUAUGAACUUGUAUGCCAUGCAUAACAUACUGUGGAUAGAAAUUACAGGGAAAGUUACUGGUAUGAUAAUUGUGGUUAUAUUAUAUUAGUAUUAUAUUUAGUGUAUUGCUAAUCAAUAUAUUGUUACUUCCCAGGUGACAGCGGCUCACUUCAAGAGCAGGUGAAGCAAGUUGGGACAAUGUUGAAGACAUUUGCUCGCACUGGGCAAUCGGGUACAACUUGCAAACAACACCUGUGGUUGUUGGUUUAAUUCCCACUGGGGCCACCUGUACAUGUAGUAGACCUAGAUAUAAAUGUCAUAGUUUAGUAGUUGAAGGACCAGGACUGACUACUUUAUUCUUUUAUUCUGGGAACCCCUGUAGGUGCAGAUCAAAUCCUAAUGCUGCGACGUCUUGGAGUUUGGCGAUGUUGUGCGUAGCAUGGACAACAAAAUGCUAUGCUGCAACAUUUCAGUGCCAAUGUGUCUGUUGGAGAGUUAUCCCUGCCAGGGGAUCUGUUACUCCCCCCUAGACACCCAGGAAGAUUUGGCGUUGCUUGACAACAGUUUGAGGCAGGAUAAAGAGCUCCUGCAAUGAUUUCUUCGGUUUUUUUGGCAAUCAAAUGUGGGAGGGACCUAAAGACAACCGUGUGUGAAUGCUUCAGAGUAUCUUCUCUAAUCACCUUUCCAUCAAUACAACCUGGACUGGUGUAGGGGAUAAAGCAUGUUUUAGAGACAUGUUCCUGAAGACCAUUGUUCAAAGAGCCAUCCGGAAGAACCCGGCAACCCAGGAUGCCACUGAUGAGGCGAUCCAGGUUAACGUUACGCGUUACCUGAAAGGAGCAUCUGAACAUGAAGGUGGAAAAAGGCGCCGCACAGCAGAGAGGGACCCACAGCCGACCCCUUAAACCUAGGCUGACUACUGACACCCCAGCAUCACUGACAACUGGAACCCUUUCUUUAUCCUGCAGUCAGUAACAUCAAGACCCCUAAAAAAGCCUGCUAAAAGUGUCAGACUACACUCACCCAAUCCACACUGUUCACUGUGGAAAUUGCUUUUUUUUUUUCUCUCUCGUGACCCUGUUUUGUGGGCAGCUCCUUGGAUGAAUAUGGGAUGGUUUGUCCUUUUAUACAGGCGCACGAGGAAUCACUGAAGAUAUGCCAAUUUGCACUGCCUCGUUCUGGAGGUCGGGGAAAUCCGGUGAUUCUUAGCCCACUACGCCACGCAGACCCCAACCACUCCAGACAUUCUGAUUGGCUGUGUUCUCUACAGCCAGAUUUUCUGCUGUUAAUUAUAUUUAUUCCCACUUGUUGUCAUGUGUAAGUUGAAUGUCAAAAUGUAUAUUAUACCUGUUAUCCUGCACAUUCCUUGAUACCAAAGAUCUCAAUUAUUUCAUAUACAAUUUGCUGCUUAUUUCAUUGUUACAGUGCUUAACUAUUCUAUUUUUAAAUAUAGCUUGUAAAUCCUAGAUUAUACAUCUAAUACUUGAUAUCUGCACAUUAUCUGGUAUCAAAUAUUCUACUUACCGUGACUUUAGUAUUGGCUUAUUUCAUUCCGUCAGUGCUUAACGAUUCUAUUAUAGUUUGUAAAUCCUAUUUCAUGCCUGAUAUUUGAUAUUGCACAUUAACUAGUACCAAAAAUUCUACUUUCAUUCCGUCACAGUGCUUAACUGUUAUUCUAUUGUUAAAUAUAGCUUGUAAAUCCUUGUGCCACAGGUCAGCAUUGCAGUUAUAAUGGUAUAUUCUACUCCAGAGCUUUACUCUAAAUUAUUACCACUUAACCUAUUGUUAGAAAUGACUUGUAAAUAUGAUGUUAUACCUCAAUUUAUUUGGUAUCCUGCACUUUAUUUGGUACCAAAUAUCCUCAUUGCUUAUGUUUACUGGUAAUUCUUUUCAUCCCAGAGCUGACCUCUUUAUAUUAUUAACAAUUAUUGUAAGUGUUACAAUAGUGUUUUUAAAAAAAAAUUUCUUUUUUUUACCAAAAUUGAAUUGGAAACCUGCAUGUUCUUUAGUGUGUGUGUGUGUGUGUGUGUGUGUGUGUGUGUAUAUAAUGUUUGUAUUUUUCUGUUAUUUAUAUUUCAGUGAUCUGACAUCUUGUUUCAAUGACAGUUACUGUACUUUGAAAUGUGGAAUUAAAACGCCAAAUGGAAAUUUGUCUGGUUUGAUCAAUCAUUAUUCUUGAUAAACUGCAUGCUAUAAAUAUAUAUAUAUAUAUAUAUAAUAAGCGGCCGCAGAUCGCUCGAAAAAAGCGCUUGCCUCCGACGGUCCGCCUUCGAUAUAACGGCGGCGGAACGGCGGAUAGCCAGCGGGCCGGCCGCGGAACGAAGGCGGUAGGAAGGCGGCUGCCGCUUUUAAAAAGUGGCUGCCGUCAAACGUGUUUGCGAUAUCGCCAUUCUGCCGCUUCUACUGCCGCUGGAGCACCGCCAGCGCGCCGACUUAUUGCUAUCUGGGAGUGUUGUAAUCAAGUCUCUAGAUCGUCAUUAAUAUCGUGACUCGAAUCAGACUCGAGUUCGAGUCCAGGACUCAAGUACUACAACAAUGACGGGUACUGUAGUAGUUGUUCACCUGGAAUCCCUCUAUUGAACGCGAUUUUUAAACAAUGAAGUUGAAAUAACGCAGACGUAUGGCUUCAACAAGCGUAUCCCAAGGAUUAACAACCUCGGAGCUCACGGUAGGUCUGUCUUUAAAGGUUUAUAAGUUAAUGUUAAAAAUCAAUCCAUCUAUGGAAAAAUGUAUGGGAUUUUUACUUCCGGAACCCGACUGUUGCGCUCUAUAAUUCCAAAACACAUUUUAUGAAUUUUGUAUGAAAAGGUGGCACAGUCACCAAACUGCUCUUGUACGUUCAGAACAUGGUAACAAUGAUACUCAACCAGUUUCAUGGCAAUAUGUUGAAGCAUUGUGAGUACACGGCCUAACUUCGUCUCUGGUGUCCUUGAUGUCAAAUUCAUUGAUGUGAUACACAUGAACAGUUUGGUCUAUCCAAAAGCUUUUAAUAAUUUUCAUUGCCAUUGUCAAAAAUUCACCAAAAUUGGUGAAGAUAGGAUGAAACAUGUAGGAUGAGUUUGAAAAAGUAUGUUUUCUCGCAUACUCAAACCUCACUGAAUUGGUUAAUUUUAGUCUUGGCCCCUAAAUAUUGAGUUGAAUGUGCAGUAAUA